UACGGGGGGGGCAAGCGUUGUUCGGAAUUACUGGGCGUAAAGGGUUCGUAGGUGGCUUGCUAAGUCAGACGUGAAAUCCCUCAGCUUAACUGGGGAACUGCGUCUGAUACUGGCGAGCUUGAGUGCAGGAGAGGAACGCAGAAUUCCAGGUGUAGCGGUGAAAUGCGUAGAUAUCUGGAGGAACACCGAUGGCGAAGGCAGCACUCUGGGCCGGCACUGACGCUGAGGAGCGAAAGCGUGGGGAGCGAACAGG
rnacentral:rRNA from 1 species